rnacentral:tRNA from 1 species
GGGGUGGUGGCGCAGUUGGCUAGCGCGUAGGUCUCAAAGCCGAGGUCGAGAGUUCGAGCCCUCUCUCAACCCA